GCGCCGGUGGUGUAAGGCGAACAUCGCUGCCCGGAAAGCAGAAGGUGCGGGUUCGAGUCCCGCGUGGCGCA
rnacentral:tRNA from 1 species